CAUGAUUUAUGCGCACAUGUAGCUUGGCGUUCCCGCCAUUCAAUUGUUUCGGAGAGACUCGAAACUUUUCUAUAUAAAGAAGUACUCACCAAAGUUGCCAUCAUCUUCUUAGCAAUCACGCUUCAAAUCCUUGUUACUUCUUCUUACUCAUAAAUAUGUAAUGUCAACUCAUUGUUAGGGUUCCACACCACCUUACCCAAGCUCGAUUCAACAUCUUUAUUCAAUAGAACUUCUAGUUAAGAAUAUGUACUGCGUCUAGGGUUCAAGAUUCCAAGACGAGCUUCAAUAAUUCCAUGUAACUGGGAGGAUAUACAUACAAUUUUUAGUGGGCGGUGAACAAAGACAACUGAGGAUUUCCAGUUGAUAUUGCAGAUUCAGUAGAACUUUUAGUGGGCGUUGUUGGUUCUGUUAUGAAUAUGUAUUGCGAUUCUAUUAGUAACUGUUUCUAAAUUGUGCAGGGACAGAUCAUGCUCACAAAAUUACAAUUCUGCAAGGACGGUAUGUCUUGAAAUUUCAAGAAGGGGAAGGUAACUGAAGAUUUCCAGUUGAUAUUGCAGAUACAAUAGAACUUGUAGUGGGCGUUAUAUGAAUAUGCUCCGUGUUAAUGCGUUCCUAGGGUUUAAGAUACCAAGACCAGCUUCAAUAAUUCAAUGUUGCAAUCAUAUUACUUGAAAUUUAAAGAACUGAAAGGUAACUGAGGGGAUAUGCAUACAACUUUUAGUGGGCGGUAUUGGUUCUGUUGCAUUAAGAGCUUUAAUAUCAUAAGCGUGCCAGUGAAUAUCUCUGGCUUAGACAUUUAACCUUAUAGAGAUGCUCAUAAAGAUGGAUGAAUCAGCCUUGACAUAAAUGUAAAUUGAAAUGAUAAAUCAACCAAUCAAUAAAUUUUGUACAAAUAUUGCAUGAUACCAUGACCAUACACAAAUGUUGGACUUAUAUUAUUUAUGUAAAUGUGACUUACUUGUGCUCUAUAUCUUCCAUUGAUUUCCUAUGUCUAACUUCAGGAAAGGAAUCACUACUUUUCUGUUCUGAAUUUAAAGAGGAAGUGAUCUAGAGUGUGGUUUCUAUGAGAUUUUCUGCAGUGGGCUUCUUCAAACUUUUUGAUUUUUCUCAUCCAUACAAGUUUGUCUUUUGUACAGUAGGUUAAAGCUUUUUUCAGCUUGAGGUCUUCUUUAUUGUCUUUUGUAGGAAAAAGAUUUAUUGUGCUGAAAAGUAUAGGAAUUGCGAUCAAUAUUAGCAGAGGAGUUGACUUAGUUACACCGGUGACAUGAGUGGAACAAAUAUUACUGUUCUGUUAAACAGAAGAAGCUUUAAAGCAAUGAUGUCUAUCUAUUUAGAAUGGAACUGUGCUAAGGAGGCUCAGCGAGUUAAGGAACCAAACCCGUGGAGAUAAUGCUUGUCGACCUUGUAUAGCUCAGGGAUGUAUAAUUAAAAGUUUACUUUUCUCACAGAACAGUAUAUUCUAGAUUUGAGAUAAAGAGGUCCUUGUCUUUAACACUCAUUUGCUGUCUAUUAGGUCUCACCUAUUUACUUAUCUUGCUACCUUCAUAGUUCAGUAUAGGACAUUUCUAUUAAUUUGCUGAUCUUCAGGUGGGUAAUAUGCCGGGGAUUCUCUGAACCGGAUACCGGGAUGCUAUGUCUACACUAGAUAGCUACAAGAUUAAGGCCCGUACUGUAUGGCACUGCACCUGUCUUUGAAGUCAUGUUUGCAAAAUAUUGUGAUCUUAUAGCCAACUGUCUAUUCAAGUCCAAAUCCACGAGGGCUCGAGGUCAUAUGUAAAACUGUUGAGUGACUAUAACCGUAUGACCUUAAAGCCAAUGUCUCUGAGCUUUAAACUAAUCGAAGAGUAGAUCUCAUAUGCAGAAUCCCGAAUAUAUGCUGAUAAAGCGGAAGAUUCAAAAUCGUCAGAAUUUAGAGCAUCUUUUGUCAAUGGUGAAGCAAGUCCCCCCUGCAUCGGCACAUGAUGCUUUUAGGCCUGCAAUGGAAGCACUAGCUGCAAUUGAACUUCUACGGCAUCCUGACAUAGAUGUGAAGGUGUCAGUUACAUCUUGCAUUAGUGAAAUCAUGAGAAUUACAGCUCCAAAUCAACCAUGUGAUGAUGCACACUUAAGGCAAAUACAACUCAUACAACCUUCUUUGUCCAAAUUUGAAGUCAGAAUGAUUUCCAGUCUCUCCUAUAACUAAGUUGUUUUGCUUUGUAGUUGAUGGUUCAUAUUCUUUAGCAGUUAUGCAUAUAUGAUUUUCUUGGUUGCAUGAAUAGUAUUUAUAUAUGCCCACAGUUUAGUUUCUUGCUGAGUUGGUGGACAGGACUUUUUUGAGCUUGCUGUAUAGGCGUUUGGGAAAUUGUCUUGCUUGGAUAGUCGCUGUUAUUCAAAGUCUGUCGCUUGGAAUUUCGGAAAGUGAACCCUAGUUUUCAGAUCCUGGCCUUGGUAGAACUUGUCUUUGAUUGGGAUUUCGAUUGAAAAGAUGUUAGGCCGUCUCUAUUAUUGAAGUUCUUGCGAAGUACUGAAUAUGUGUGCUGAUGUGGGAUCUCGAUUUUGGAUGUUCAGAUGUUUCAACAUUUUCUGAAUAGUAUAAGGUAUAUCUCCAAUUACUCAUAAUUUUUCUGAAGGAAAGAGGGAUUCAACAGGUUGUAACCUUGCUGGCAUGUUAUCUUUUGUGUUCAUUUGUUUUUCUUGUAAUAUGAUGUUUUUUAUUUAUUUUAAAGGUGGGUCUCAUGGACCCUAUAUUAGAAACCAAAAAGAGCAAAAACCAGACCAUAACAUGUUCUAGCCCAAAACACCAACAAUCUGUCCAAAAACCAAAGGAAGAAAUGAACACCCUAAAAGAAAAUAAAUAAAUGAGAGUUGGUCGUCUUCUAGCUUGAGCUUUCAUCUGCCAUGGAGGACGAAGAAGAAGCGCUUGUCUUGGAGUGAAAUCGACUUAUCAACGGCUGCAACCAUCUGAGUUCGGGCUGUUUCCACACAAGACACUCUAAAUCUCACGAGUGUCAUGGAAACAAAUCCCUCUGAAUUCACUUCAACACAGCUCAAACAGAUCAGGCUGGACCACCCUGAUCAACUAUUCAUGGACAUCGAGGAAAUAAUGAGCAUUGUAUAAAAGAGAGUGAAGAAAUUCCAAUGCAGCUUCUGAAUAUCCUCAUAAGUAUUGUUAAGAAGGAAAAUCAGAUAUUGCUUUUCCUCUAUAAGUUUAUUCAUUUGUCUUUCUCAUUGUUUUUUUAAUGAUGUCUUAUUUUGGUUUAGAAUUUUUAAGAUAUGGAUGAAUUUUCACCUCCUUCCUAUGUGUUGGUAGAGGAAGUUCUUGAAGAAAGUGCUGUCAAACUUCAUCCAUAUCUUACAAAAGCUGUGAUGGCAUCGGCAUUUCCUUUAACAACUAUUCGGAAGUUGUUGAAUUAAUAUGGAGGGAGACAAUUUGAAGUAAAGCUAUGGUGGGUCUAUCAGAUAUUCAAAGUGGAAAAUGUUCCCGAAUAGCUUGCACCACAUGCUGCACCUGAAAGAAUCGCUCCGUUCUUAGAUCAACCACCAAUUAGGCUAACUGUUUGAUUUACCUCUGCUCUUGAUUCACCGACUGAUGAUUGUCGUCCUUUAUCAAGAUAUCUGGAAGCUAGCCGAGAAAGAUAGUAGAGCCAGUAGCUACAAUAAACCAGAGGAAGGAUAUGAUGAUGCUUGGAUAACUAGAAAAAGAAGAUCAAAAGCCCAUAUUCUUUUAAAGGGUCAUGGGAAAGAUACUAAAAAGAGCAACAGUUCACCUAAAUGUGCAAUCUCCAAUGACUGUAUUUUUCAUCUAGUGAAGAUAAUACUCCUUGACUUCUACAAAGAGACGCCAAAGGAGAAAAAUGACAAAAUAGGUCCCAAUGAUGUUUUACGAUUUUGAAUAAGAGAUUCAGCAGGAGCUAUAACCAAGAAGAAAGUCUCACAACCUACAUCGUUUGCUUCAGAAGAAUUUGUUGUUGUGGAGGCAUUAGAGAAACAUGAAAAAGACGACAAGAAUAUUGUACAUUCGGAUAUCAUGAUAAAAGACGACAAUCAUCAGUUGGUGAAUUAGGAGCUGAGGUGGAAAAUGCUCCCGAAUAGCUUGCACCACAUGCUGCAGCUGACAGGGUAAGUCAAGAGUUGAGGUAGGUACAGUUUUCUUGUUGUCUUUUUCAUGUUUGUCUAAUGCCUCCAAAACAGCAAAUUCAACUAUAUAGGUUGUGAGACUUUCUUCUUGGUUACAACUUCUGGUGGAUUUCUUGCUGAAAUUGAUGAAACUUGCACACCAUCAGUUUGACCUAUUUUGUCAUUUUUCUUGUUUUGGCAUCUCUUUAUAGAAGUCAUUAUUGGGGUAUUAUUUUCACCAGAUGAAAAAUACAAUCCAUUAGAGAUUGCACAUUUAGGUGAACUGCUACUCCUCUCUUUAGUAUCUUUCCCAGGACCCUUCAAGAGAAUAUGGACUUUUAAUCUCCUUUCUCCGCUUAUUCAAGCAUCAGCAUAUCCUUCCUCUCUGUUUUAUUCAAAAAAGUAGGUUUCCAACCUCUUUUCUUUGAAGUUUUGAGUUACUUCUGGAUUUAGUGUUUUUUGGCUGCAUUUAUGAAACCCAAGUUUUCAGAUCACAAAGUGAUUCUUGAAUUAAUACCUUUUUGUUGUGUUAUUGCAUUUCCACGUUCUCAUUCCUUUAAAGUUGUAUCGUAUCUAGAUCCAUCUCAUGAUGUUAUUCUAGAGACGGAUACAACUUUAAGGGAAUUAAAACGUGGAGAUGCAAUGACGCAACAGAAAAGUACUGAUUCAAGGACCACUUUCCCGCUGAAAACUUGGGAUUCAUAAAUGCAGUCAAAAAAGCAGUCAGUAGCUAUACUCAAACUUUGAUGUGUUGAGUUUGGAAACCUCCUUUUUUGAAUUAAUCAAAGGAAGGAUAUGCUGAUGCUUGGAUAAGUGGAGAAAGAAGAUUAAAAGCCCGUAUUCUCUUUGAAGGGUCGUGGGAAAGAGAUACUAAAAAGAGGAAUAACGGUUCACCUAAAUGUGCAAAUCUCGAAUUACGUAUUUUUCAUCUGGUGAAGAUCAUGCUACAUUAAAUGCUUCUCUAUAAAGAGAUGCCAAAAGGAGAAAAAUGACAAAACAGGUUAAGACUUUGCACAAUUUCAGCGAGAAAUUCACCGGAAGCUAUAACCAAGAAGAAAAUCUCACAGCCUUCAUUGUUUGCUUUAGAAGAAGUUGUUUUUUUGGAGGCACUAGAGAAACAUGAAAAAGACAACAAGAUAACUAUACCUUCCAGAUAUCCUGAUAAAAGGCGGUGGUUACCAGUUGGUGAAUCAGGGAGCUGAGGCACUGAGAGAUCCUCAAACACCAAAGAAAGCAAUUCCCAAAAUCCAGUAAAAAACAACGUAAAAGGAAGAACUCGCCAUCACAAGAAGAGGGAAAAGCAACUGAUCAUCAGACUCCUCCAACAGUGGAAGUUAUUUAUAUCACAUUUAGACCCCAUAAAGAAUGUGAUUCCAGCUGAACAACAUUUUAUGUAGGACCAUGCAGCAUAAUUUAACUCCAAAAGUAAAAGUAACCAGUGCUCCCACAUUUACUGCCAUUUUUGCCGAGUAUGAUGACAUUGCAGUCAACUGUCACUAUACAUCAUUGGCUUCCAUAGCUUCCCUUCUUGAUCUGGUUUGUGAAUGUUGUAAAGAGGCUCGAAAACAGUGAUAUUGGUUCUUCUUCCAUCAAAGAGAUGAAGUCUUUUGUCUCUGCUGCCGUGGAUGUCAAGCUUGAUGUAACUUGGCUGCAGCAGUAUACUCCAUUGAAUUUGUGGAGCAAUACAUCAAUUUCUCUGUAAAAUGAGUUUAUUAACAUUCUUUUUAUCAAACACACAAUGUUUAUCUUGAUGAUCCUUUGCUUCAACAAUAUCGAGGAUUCCUCAAAUAAUCUGAUUGAUAUAUCUUAUGUGUCAGGAGUGAAUUGAUAUACAUGUAAAUUGCAUUGUGUAAAAAACACAAAUAGUUUGCACACAUUCAUUACUUGAAAAAAUGUAGACAUUUAAUGUGA